UUCGUAACGCGACCAGCAACUGUCAAAAAUUUUCAUUUACACGUGUUGAGUGCAUCACCAGCUUCAACAACAAAAGCUCGCGAACGUUCCGGGACGCGUUCCGAAGUUCCCCCAGUCGCGUUUCCCCGGUUUCCUCGAACCAGAAGUCGUCCACCCAACGAUAAAAGAACCCGGGCCCGCGGGGUUUGUAACAAGUUCGGCGCCGAAGACCCGAUCCGAUCUAAAUUCCAGCGGUUACACCGCGAAAAAGCAAUCAGUCAAACAGUUUGAUUUUUCGGGAAACCCGUGCCCGGAACCAUCGUAGAUGACGUGAUCACACAUCUUGAACGCAACGACUUCUACCUGAUUUCCAAGAACGUCCGCCAGGGAACCGUUUCGCCCACCUCAUACAACUGGACGCGGACAAGCUGCAACAGUACUCGUUGCCCGUGUUGUCGGAAUGAAGCAACAAUCGGAAACUGAAGGGGGGCAGAUCGGCAAGAAAAUUCAGUUAAGAAAAAGCCACGGCUGGAGAGCUCAAUUCCGUCUCGCGGGAAGCGGGUUAUGCCGGUGAAAAAGACGUCGCUGACGUUUGCCAUUUUCGGCAUCAUGAACCGGAUUGGGGUGCAGAAGAUUUGGGGGAGGACCGGAGAAGCAGCAACUGAGGCGAUGCAAAACGUCAACUGCAACCCGCUGUCAAACGUCUCCCGACGACAAUGACCGCACCGAAGAACCCGCAAACGUGACACCCCUCAUCAUUUCGUCCCCAAUACCGCGUCCGCCCAACAAAACGAAUCUACUCUUCAAGUGUGUCAUUCAAUUCGACGUCCCAGACCGUACCAAGCUGCCCAACGUGACCCUAGGGUUCUCCUCCCUGGGAGCGUCCUCGCCGUGGCGAGUUCAAAACGAAAACGAUCUGCCGCGAACGUUCUAUUUUCCCGAUCGAAGGACCUGCUGCCAUGGUUUGAGAGAGACGUCAUCAUUCGGGACCAAAAUGUGCGGCCAAAGUCGCCGGUUGUGGAGCAGCCGGUUUCGCCGGCCAAGCUACAACCUUCAAGUACUAGUUUGACCGGAACGGUACUGCGGUGCCGAAUUCCUAGCAACAUCCUCCAUCAGCACCAGUUGUUCCAGAGAUUCUGCACAGCGGGGUUCAGUGUGUAGUUCCCGUUCCUGCCCAGUUAGGAAGUCGAAUAACCCAAAUCCGGUCAUCAACAGUCAAGUGAAACAAAAAAAUAACAAAAGCUACACAAUAUGAAAGUAAAAAAACAGAAAUUUAUAAAUACAUAAACACAAAA